CACUUGCUGUGAACUCGAAGAGUAGGGCGGGACACGUGGUAUCCUGUCUGAAUAUGGGGGGACCAUCCUCCAAGGCUAAAUACUCCUGACUGACCGAUAGUGAACCAGUACCGUGAGGGAAAGGCGAAAAGAACCCCGGCGAGGGGAGUGAAAAAGAACCUGAAACCGUGUACGUACAAGCAGUGGGAGCACCUUCGGGUGUGACUGCGUACCUUUUGUAUAAUGGGUCAGCGACUUAUAUUCUGUAGCAAGGUUAACCGUAUAGGGGAGCCGAAGGGAAACCGAGUCUUAACUGGGCGUUAAGUUGCAGGGUAUAGACCCGAAACCCGGUGAUCUAGCCAUGGGCAGGUUGAAGGUUGGGUAACACUAACUGGAGGACCGAACCGACUAAUGUUGAAAAAUUAGCGGAUGACCUGUGGCUGGGGGUGAAAGGCCAAUCAAACCGGGAGAUAGCUGGUUCUCCCCGAAAGCUAUUUAGGUAGCGCCUCGUGAACUCAUCUUCGGGGGUAGAGCACUGUUUCGGCUAGGGGGCCAUCCCGGCUUACCAACCCGAUGCAAACUACGAAUACCGAAGAAUGUUAUCACGGGAGACACACGGCGGGUGCUAACGUCCGUCGUGAAGAGGGAAACAACCCAGACCGCCAGCUAAGGUCCCAAAGUCAUGGUUAAGUGGGAAACGAUGUGGGAAGGCACAGACAGCCAGGAUGUUGGCUUAGAAGCAGCCAUCAUUUAAAGAAAGCGUAAUAGCUCACUGGUCGAGUCGGCCUGCGCGGAAGAUGUAACGGGGCUAAACCAUGCACCGAAGCUGCGGCAGCGACACUAUGUGUUGUUGGGUAGGGGAGCGUUCUGUAAGCCGUUGAAGGUGUGCUGUGAGGCAUGCUGGAGGUAUCAGAAGUGCGAAUGCUGACAUAAGUAACGAUAAAGCGGGUGAAAAGCCCGCUCGCCGGAAGACCAAGGGUUCCUGUCCAACGUUAAUCGGGGCAGGGUGAGUCGACCCCUAAGGCGAGGCCGAAAGGCGUAGUCGAUGGGAAACAGGUUAAUAUUCCUGUACUUGGUGUUACUGCGAAGGGGGGACGGAGAAGGCUAUGUCAGCCGGGCGACGGUUGUCCCGGUUUAAGCAUGUAGGCGGAGGUUCCAGGUAAAUCCGGUACCUUGUUAACGCUGAGGUGUGAUGACGAGGCACUACGGUGCUGAAGUGAUAAAUGCCCUGCUUCCAGGAAAAGCCUCUAAGCAUCAGGUAACACGAAAUCGUACCCCAAACCGACACAGGUGGUCAGGUAGAGAAUACCAAGGCGCUUGAGAGAACUCGGGUGAAGGAACUAGGCAAAAUGGUGCCGUAACUUCGGGAGAAGGCACGCUGAUA
rnacentral:rRNA from 1 species